UUUGCUGAGUAUAACAUUUGGUCCCACUCUAAACAGAGUAAAAUACACUCUAUUAUAGAGUGAAAUCAGCUCUACUGUCUUGUCAACUUGUGUUUCUACUCUAAUAAAAGUUGAUUUUACACAACUAUUGCACAGCC